GGUGCCCCUCCAUCGGCCUCUCCGACAUCCUGUCCGUCUGCAGAGACACGCGGGGCACUCUGAUUCUGUACAGGCCGUCCACUGCCGCCACCUCCUGCAGGGAGCACAUCAGCACACGUGCUGCUCGUUUCCGUCUGGACCAGAGGACGAACUGAACUCACCGACUUCAAACGAGUGCUCCAGAGGCACGGAGAACCCACUGAACUCAGUGUCCACAGCAUCUCCGACCUGAGGAUAAAGACGAGCAGACCCCCGUUAGCAGGGUAUCUGGCUCCAAGUAAAGGAACGCUUUGGGUUUGUCGUCUGCGGGGGAAAAGCGGCUUGAGGGAAUGUGUGUGAUGUGUGCGUCUGUGUGUGUGCGUCUGUGUGUGUGAGUGUGUCUGGCAUAAGUGACCACUGGGGGGAUGGGCAAGGGGGGGGGGGGGGCAGAUAAAAGGGCAGAGGAGGUCUGGGAAGCUGACAGAUUCUUAGAGAAGUGCAGAGGAGGACGAGUAGAGAGGACGACCUACCUACCUACCCGAAAACCAUGCCGGAACCGACCACUA